rnacentral:rRNA from 1 species
UACGGGGGGGGCAAGCGUUGUUCGGAAUUACUGGGCGUAAAGGGCUCGUAGGUGGCCAACUAAGUCAGACGUGAAGUCCCCAGGCUCAACUUGGGAACUGCGUCUGAUACUGGAUGGCUUGAAUUCGGGAGAGGGAUGCAGAAUUCCAGGUGUAGCGGUGAAAUGCGUAGAUAUCUGGAGGAAUACCGGUGGCGAAGGCGGCAUCCUGGACCGGCAUUGACGCUGAUGAGCGAAAGCUAGGGGAGCAAACGGG